GCUGCUGCUUGGCGGUCGCUGGCACUGGCGCUUGCCAUCAUUCUGAUAGGCGCUGGAAUCAUUUGAGGAAGAAGCAGUCUGGGUGAAACGAAUCUACGGUGUCGACUUUGUGAGACAAGAUCUUCGCAAAGUUUUAUUCCAAGUAGGAGAUAAACACCCAGCACUGGUGAAGUCACUUCCCGUGGGACCUGCUUCCCACCCUCUCUGUGCCCCUCUGCUUCUGUGCAUUCAGAACCUGGUGGUGCCCUUCCCUGAGGGUCUGGGGUGCAGGCAGGAGGGGCCUCACCCCCUCCUGCUCGUGGCAGAUCAGAUCUGAUUGCGGCUUUAGUGGAGGAGCCAGGACUUAGCACUCUGGUCACCCAGCAUCUCCCACAGUAUUUUAUUUAUAGUUAACCCUAACCAUGAAGUUAAAAUACUAUGUGUACAGUCCAGAGAGCCUGUUUCUGACUGAUUUCAAAGGGGAGUCAUGGUGUCUUAAAUGGCACAGCUGUGCAGAGAUCAGUAGGGGUUGGGUAAAACCACACUGAAGCCCAGAGCUAAGUGUGCACGUGGAAGGGCUUACCUCUUUUAUGACAGGCAGAAGGCCACUUUGUACAAAGCUCUGGCCAAAUGUGCCCUAACCCACAGUCAGGAAGAGAUGUGGAUCAGAUGCAUAAAUGAGUAAAGGAGAACCAAGCUGUUUGCUGAGGGAGACUCGCCCAGCCCGGAAACCAGCAGGAGAGGGGUGGCUGGGCCACCGGCCGUGGCCACCCCAUGUCGUCCCCGCGUGCCAGGUGUUUAGGCUUCCCUCCAGGGCCCUGCGGGGAGUGGCCCUGCAGUCUGGUGAUGUCCUCUUAGGGAAGAGCCUGGCGCUCUGGCUGUGACCACAGGCUCAGGGCGGUACAGCACUGUGUUUCAAACAAACGAGUAUUUUGGAUGAAAAAUUUCUGUUUAAAACCAUUUCACUUUCAUUUUGUAGAAUAAUUUGCAGUAUUUAUCUGGACACUUGAUCCUUUUUUAAAGCCUCUUUACUGUUGGCAAAUCGUGUCCUAGCCACGUCCUCGCAUGGCUGAGUCAGACAGUGCUGGCUGGAUGUGCAGCUCCUCAUGUCCUGCGGUGGAAAAGCCCUAUAAAGAAACAUCCAGUCAGAGGUGCCAGUGACGACCGUGGGAGCAUAGCUCUCGACCACAAGACACGAGACGGCCCUGCUGCUUGACCACAGAACGUUGUGAGUGCUGAGGAUUGAACCCAGGAAGUACUGAACUACAUCCGCAGUCCUUAUUUUAUUUUGAGACAGAGUCUUACUAGGUUGCCUGGUCUGACCCUGAACGAGGCAAGCUCCUGCCUCAGCCUCCGGAGGGGCUUACUGGCAUGCACACUGUGCCCCGCCAUUGCUGACACCAUAACCUCCUCUUCUGGAUUCCGUCUUCCACGCUCUUGCAUCCUUUGCGCCUCAGCAGGGGAGGUGCUUGGGCUCCAUUUGCAUGGCAGCCUCUCUUCCCAGCGCCUACCCCCUCUCGCAGCUGUCGGCCGGGUGUCCUGUUGGCCUCUUGUCCCUUGAUAGUGGCCUCUGGGCCAUGGUCCUGUCCCCUGACCAUGGCCAGAAUAGCUGAACAAGACUACUGGCCACCCGGGGCUGGCUCUCCCAGUGUCUGGCCCUUGUCCCUGUGCUACAUGGUCUCAAGUUGCCUCCCAGAACCCAAGGUGGACUCGGAGGAGGGUUGAGGUGGUGCCCCUGCCUCAGCCUCCUGAGAGGCUCCCUGUGAGUCCCAAGUGGAGGCUGGGAGCUGGACUGAGCCUCGACUCAGCCCAGCAGCAUUGCUUUCUGGUCCUGCCCUGCUCCUGUGCAGGGCCACCCUUGCUUUCCACCGUGUCUUUUAGGAAAACUGAAGCAGACUUGUAUAAACUCAGCAUCCAUGUGAAAGGAGGAUCCUGGACUCUGCUUUCUGAUUUUUAGAAAUAGCCGGUAGCACUGCAGGCACUUGAGCCAGGAGGCUUGCGUGCAGGAGCAGCGGGAUGCCGGCCCAGGGAGGGCCUGGCAGAACAUGCUGGGCUGAGGACCAGGACCUGCGGCAAAGGGAGGUCACCUGCGUAAGGACCUAAUGUGGCUGCUGCCGGUGGUGAUGCAGUGAUAGCAGCCACAGUGGGGACCGGCGACUGCUGUGUGUGGCUCGUGGUGGAGCUUGCCGUGUGUGCACAGGUCCUGUGUUUGAUCCCCAGUACCAAAAAGAAGAAAAAGGCAACCCAGGCAAGGCCAUGCCGUCAUGGACGUGGACCCAUUGAGUCCUCACGAUGGCUGUACGUGACGCGUCAUUGCGGUUCCCUUUCCCUGGGAUGCACAAUGAUGGGCUCCCCUCAGAGGACCUGGCCAGGCAAGGCGGCAGUCGAGGACCCCCACAGGACAUCCAGCCCAGGGCAGCGAACACCUGUGACGGAGGCGUGACCUAGCGGAAGCCAUGUGACGGCCGAGUUAGCGUGGUGGGGAGCAGGGGAGGGAUGGCGACCCUGGAGGUGCUGUGCACGCAGCUGGACGUGCGCUUCCCGACCACCCGACCCCUAGGAGGAGGUUCAGUCUGCGGCUGGCUAUGUCGCACGGAGCCACGCUGCUCACCUCAGGCUGCCAGGAGGCAGGGGCCAGAGGAGGGCUGGGCCAGGCACACCCCUGACCUCUCCCUGCCCUGUGCCCGCCCUAAGUCUCCGUCAGCUCCCAGCAGAGUCAGUUACAGUCUUGUCCGCACUGGACGGGGCGCCCCAACUGUCACAUCCCCUAGGCCGCACCUGAACUCGGGGGACCCGCACAGCACAGUCCAGACUGAGCAGUGUUAUCGGCCCUGGCCCAAUGGCAGACAGACAAGCAAGGCGGAGAGCAAGGUCCUCCGUGGAUGGGGUGACAGUGCUGGGACCUGAUGCAGCAGGGCCCUUCCUGAGACCGGCGGUAGAGGAGCCAGUCGCUGGGGCCCUUUUCCUGUCUGCUCUCUGGUUCCGUGUCUGUUGAGGAUUAUUUUAAACAACAGCACUGGCUUCGUCUGAGAUGAGCUUAUUAGGAUCUUCACUUUUUUUGUGACCUCUGAUUAUUCGGUCACCCAUUUGAAUGAACAACUGUAUAACGCUGAUGGAAUUUUGAUCAUUUCAGCAAAAUGUAUUAAGUAUCUUUAUUUUUUACAUGAAUGCUCGGGCUCGGGAUUCGGUUUGAAUUGCUGGUCACGCUCAUUUAUUAUUCCCUCCCUAUCUGCCUCCCUCAUAAAUGCCCAGUGUGUACUUCUAGGCCAUAAUUCUCUUCAGUGGAAUGGCAGUGGUGUUGAAUUAAAUUUCUUUUUAAAUACACAACACAGAUUUUUUAACUUUUCCUAUACUUUUGUCCUUACAUAUUUCAGUUACCAUUUCU